rnacentral:rRNA from 1 species
AUUGAACGCUGGCGGCAGGCUUAACACAUGCAAGUCGAGCGAGCGGCGGACGGGUGAGUAAUGUCUGGGAAACUGCCUGAUGGAGGGGGAUAACUACUGGAAACGGUAGCUAAUACCGCAUACCAUCAGAUGUGCCCAGAUGGGAUUAGCGAGUAGGUGGGGUAAUGGCUCACCUAGGCGACGAUCCCUAGCUGGUCUGCGAGGAUGACCCGCCACACUGGGACUGAGACACGGCCCAGACUCCUACGGUAGGCAGCAGUGGGGAAUAUUGCGCAAUGGACGCAAGCCUGAUGCAGCCAUGCCGCGUGUGUGAAGAAGGCCUUCGGGUUGUAAAGCACUGUCGGCGGGGAGGCGUUACUCACAGAAGAAGCACCGGCUAACUCCGUGCCAGCAGCCGCGGUAAUAC